rnacentral:rRNA from 1 species
GACGUAGGUGGCGAACGUUAUCCGGAAUUAUUGGGCGUAAAGGAUGCGUAGAUGGUGUAGUAAGUUAUCGGUGGCAAAUCGAGGCUCAACCUCGUGGAAGUCGGUAAUACUGCUAUGCUAGAGGAUAGGAGAGGUUAACGGAACUCCCUGUGGAGCGGUGAAAUGCGCAGAUAUCGGGAAGAACACCCGUGGCGAAGGCGGCACUCUGGGACGGUACUGACGCUGAGACGCGAAAGCGUGGGGAGCGAACAGG